rnacentral:rRNA from 1 species
UACGUAAGUGGCGAGCGUUAUCCGGAAUUACUGGGCGUAAAGGGCGCGUAGGCGGCCUGCUAAGUCGAACGUGAAAUCCCUGGGCUCAACCCAGGAACUGCGUCCGAUACUGGUUGGCUUGAAUCCGGGAGAGGGACGUGGAAUUCCAGGUGUAGCGGUGAAAUGCGUAGAUAUCUGGAGGAACACCGGUGGCGAAGGCGACGUCCUGGACCGGCAUUGACGCUGAGGCGCGAAAGCCAGGGGAGCAAACGGG